rnacentral:lncRNA from 1 species
AUCAGUUUUUUCGUACGAAUAUCAUAUUUCAGUUUGCGCCUACUAUCUGAUUAGAAUCAUAACUGCAAACUGCAUUUAUAUCUUUGCUGCAUCUCGCUUAAACAAAAGUUAAAGUGAUUUACGAAUCGGCUUUCUUACCAAAAUCACUUUUAACGAACGAACGCAGUUUUUAUUUUAAUCGUAGAAGGUUUUCCGCUGCA